rnacentral:rRNA from 1 species
UACAGGGGGUGCAAACGUUGCUCGGAAUCAUUGGGCGUAAAGCGCACGUAGGCGGUUCGUUAUGUCGGAUGUGAAAGCCCUUGGCUUAACCGAGGAAGUGCAUCCGAAACUGGCGAGCUAGAGUACGAAAGAGGAUCGCGGAAUUCCCGGUGUAGAGGUGAAAUUCGUAGAUAUCGGGGAGGAACACCGGUGGCGAAGGCGGCGAUCUGGGUCGAUACUGACGCUGAGGUGCGAAAGCGUGGGAGCAAACAGG